UGGUUCUGGCAUCGAUGAAGAACGCAGCGAAAUGCGAUAAGUAAUGUGAAUUGCAGAAUUCAGUGAAUCAUCGAACCUUUGAACGCACAUUGCGCCCUGUGGUAUUCCGCAGGGCAUGCCUGUUCGAGCGUCAUUUAACUACUCAAGCCUUGCUUGGUAUUGGAGUCUGUGUUUCGCAGCUCUCAAACGCAAUAGCAGUCUAAGCAUGACCCUAAGUAUAGUAAAAUCUCUUGCUUUUGGGCUCUGUGGUGGCUUACUCAAACCCUAUUUCUAAUAGUUGACCUCGGAUCAGGUAGGGAUACCCGCUGA
rnacentral:misc_RNA from 1 species